rnacentral:lncRNA from 1 species
GCACUGAACAAGCGAGAGGAAGGAAAGCUUCCAAGCCAACCAGUGAGUAAUCCUAGGGGACAAUACAUGGCUCAAGAAAAUCAACUAAAUACAAUUCAUCAUGAACAAGCCAAUGCAUUGACUACUCUAAGGAGUGGACGUGUAGUAGACAAUAAGAUUGGGGAGGAUAACAAUAAGAAAGGUGAAGAAGAGGAUAGAAAUAAGUCAAAUGAAAAUCUAAAACCUUCUUCUUCU